GGGGUUGUGGCUCAGUGGUAGAGCACUUGCCUAGCAUGUGUGAGGCCCUGGGUUCAAUCUUCAGCACUGCCU
rnacentral:tRNA from 1 species